AAUCUUUUUUAAGUUACAGAUUCGUUCAAUAUAUUAAUUGAUUAUUAAUUGAGAUUUCAAUAGUGUUCGCAAGUUGAGUAAACAAAGUUGUAUUUGAGAGAUAUUUGCGAAAAUAAAAUUAUUGUCUAAACGUGUACCGCCGUGUUAUCUUGAAUUUUCGACUCUUAUUUUUGUGAUGUCCGUACAUCUCGUAUGUUUUAAGAAAAUUCAAUAUUAUAAUGUAUAAGAAGCUACGAAUUGAUGAAAUUCAAUACAGUAUAGUGAAGAUCGUAUCUUCUUAUCUUGUAUCGUUUCUUGUAAGUAACGAGCAAGUAAAAAAUCAUCAUUGCAUUAUCAUUAAGUUAAUCUACUACAACUUCAACCUAUUGCAUUUUCAAUCUACAUCAAUCUCUUUCAUUUCUGAUCUAUUGCAACGCAGAGGAGUGGUUUGAAAUCAUCGUGAAACUUCUUAAGUAAAACACCACUAGGUCUGAAAGAUGUAGACCAGCCAUUUUUAUAUCCUACCGGUAGAAUUGUGACAAGAAAAAAGAGGAAAAAUAUGAUGGAUCUGUUGAAAUGCAUUCCUCCUAUUAAACAUGAUUAUUGUAAAAACAUAAGGACAAAUCGACAUGACAGAACCUGAAAUACAACUGACGAAGAAGACAUCAUUUAUAUUACCGAUGAAUCAAUCUAAAUAGACUAAUAAUAAUAAUUGUAACGGUGACAGAACGUUAUUAUUUAUUUUUGCGACA